AUAUGGUGACGUUGACACUGGCUGGCUGGCUUCCUACAAGACUCUUAUGUUCUCACCGGAGGGACACCAUAACAACAACAACAACAUAGCAACUCCUCCCUGUUCUGUGUAGAGACACCUCUGGAGCUGGAGGACUAUAUUUCCUAUAACCUCUAUUAAGGAAUGUUUGUCUUUGUGCAAAGCCUUGUUUGGAAAAAGGGUUGAUGCUGACCAUGGAAGACUUGGUGGACUUUGGAGUUUCAAAAUAAACCUUUUUGCAAUAAUUCACAAGGACAACACAAUCUUGAGUAUCCAUACAGAUGCAUCCCAGACAAAGUACACAGGAUAGAGGGGCUCAGUGAACGGGGUCUGGACUCUGUGGAGGAAGAUCAUUCUGUCAGAUGUUGAAGAAGGACAGAGUUCUUGCACUGUGGUUCAGAUCCAUUUCUAUGAGACAGCUAGAGAAACACGGUCCCCACUGUUUUCUAUCUCCCAGUAGCAGGUUCCAGACAGACCUUCUCUACACAGCACCUGGGGUGAGUGGUAAAUCUGUAUAAGUGACAAGGAACAGAUUUGGCCUCCCAACUCCAAGUCACCUCUCUGUCCCCCUCAGAC